rnacentral:rRNA from 1 species
GAGCGGACAGAUGGGAGCUUGCUCCCUGAUGUUAGCGGCGGACGGGUGAGUAACACGUGGGUAACCUGCCUGUAAGACUGGGAUAACUCCGGGAAACCGGGGCUAAUACCGGAUGGUUGUUUGAACCGCAUGGUUCAAACAUAAAAGGUGGCUUCGGCUACCACUUACAGAUGGACCCGCGGCGCAUUAGCUAGUUGGUGAGGUAACGGCUCACCAAGGCAACGAUGCGUAGCCGACCUGAGAGGGUGAUCGGCCACACUGGGACUGAGACACGGCCCAGACUCCUACGGGAGGCAGCAGUAGGGAAUCUUCCGCAAUGGACGAAAGUCUGACGGAGCAACGCCGCGUGAGUGAUGAAGGUUUUCGGAUCGUAAAGCUCUGUUGUUAGGGAAGAACAAGUACCGUUCGAAUAGGGCGGUACCUUGACGGUACCUAACCAGAAAGCCACGGCUAACUACGUGCCAGCAGCCGCGGUAAUACGUAGGUGGCAAGCGUUGUCCGGAAUUAUUGGGCGUAAAGGGCUCGCAGGCGGUUUCUUAAGUCUGAUGUGAAAGCCCCCGGCUCAACCGGGGAGGGUCAUUGGAAACUGGGGAACUUGAGUGCAGAAGAGGAGAGUGGAAUUCCACGUGUAGCGGUGAAAUGCGUAGAGAUGUGGAGGAACACCAGUGGCGAAGGCGACUCUCUGGUCUGUAACUGACGCUGAGGAGCGAAAGCGUGGGGAGCGAACAGGAUUAGAUACUCUGGUAGUCCACGCCGUAUACGAUGAGUGCUAAGUGUUAUGGGGUUUCCGCCCCUUAUUGCUGCAGCUAA